AAUAAUUCAAGUAUUGGACAUUUCAAUUAUAGUUCUUAGAAGAACAACGGCCAGCAUAAUAAUUCACAACUGAUAAGAGAAUGCCUGACAUUUCGGCACAGCCACAGUAAGCAGAGUGUGACGACGAGCAGCCAUUGGUGCAGCUAUGCUGACGCUGGUAGCCCUCGCCGUGGUUCUGGUCGGCGCCGUGGACGGGUCCACACCCACGGCGCUCUGCGGCACACAGCCGUGUCCUGAGCCGCUCCAGUGCCGUGAAGAGAGAGACGUGUCAGUCUGUGUGCGCGUGCCGGCCCCCACUUGCGCUGACACCAGCUGCCCGGCCGGACAAGAGUGUAUUCUGCAACAGGCGUUUUGUGACUCCUCACCCUGCGACCCGAAACCUACUUGCGUCAAUAGAAAUCCCUGCGGAACCUGCUUUGCUCCGCAGGAGUUCUGCCAGCUGCUGCCAUCGCCGAUCUGCCGUCUUGUCGUAACCAUAACAUGCGCCAACAAGAUCUGCCCGCCCGGAAAGAAAUGCAAGGAGCAAGUCUUUAACUGCUUCAGAGCCCCGUGUCCCCCGAUCCCAGAGUGUGUGUAAAUGAUUCUGUAUGUCUACUGGCAUCAAAUGAGAUGAUGGCUACCCGAAACACGAUCGCGCAUAGAUAAAACACGUGUAAGGUCUCGCUUGGGUACGUAUGCUGGGGUCACAGCAUUAAUAUUAUUUUUGCGGAUCAUCUUGGCCUUCUAAGACACCUUAGCCUUCCAUCUUAUCGGUUCAUAAUUUACGAUGCGAUGGUCAGAAUCGAUUUUGCGUGUGGUUUUGAAACGUUUCAUUUUGUUUCACUAAAAAGCUGUUUACAUCAGAGACAUCUGGUACAAAAUGCAAAUAACUAUGCAAUGGUAAGGUGAUCACCUAACAUGCAUAAUACGUACGUUUCCAGAUAAGUAUUUGAAAACUUGGUUGCAAUAACACUAAGCCGGUGCUGAUCACGACGGAAACCAGCUUUUAAGCGUAAUGGAGGUCAUGGAGUAGAAGGUUUUGUUCGGUUUCUUGCUUAGUUGGAGCAUUGCCACAGUUCUUUAUCAACAUCAGGAUAAUUGUGAGCCUCGUGUAUUUUUGUUAUGCUCAAAUGACGCCGUGCUUAAUAGGUGUAAUAAUCCUAAAGGAGUUGUCAUGCCAUAUGCUCUCGUUACUGGUGAACAAUUACAGUUUAUAUUGGGGUGUUCCGCUUCAGGCGUUCUAAAACCCAAAGGAGUAGUUCUGCUGCUUCAAUACAGGA